UACAGAGGGGGCAAGCGUUGUUCGGAAUUACUGGGCGUAAAGGGCGCGUAGGCGGCCUUCUAAGUCAGACGUGAAAUCCCUCGGCUCAACCGGGGAACUGCGUCUGAGACUGGAAGGCUUGAAUCCGGGAGAGGGAUGUGGAAUUCCAGGUGUAGCGGUGAAAUGCGUAGAUAUCUGGAGGAAUACCGGUGGCGAAGGCGGCAUCCUGGACCGGCAUUGACGCUGAGGAGCGAAAGCUAGGGGAGCAAACGGG
rnacentral:rRNA from 1 species